GACGAACGCUGGCGGCAUGCUUAACACAUGCAAGUCGAACGGACAGACCCUGCUUUUUUUGGGUGCUCGAGUGGCAAACGGAUGAGUAGCACGUGAGUAACCUGCCCUUGACUUUGGGAUAUCUUCAGGAAACUGCGGCUAAUACCGAAUCGGAGAUCCUGCAGCAUGGUGGCUUUUGGAAAGGUUCGGAGGUUAGGGCUCGACUCCGGGCUUAUCAGCUGGUGGGUGGGGUAGUGGCUUACCAAGUGUUUAGCGGGUAGCCGGCCUGGGAGGGUGACCGGCGACAUUGGGACUGAGGGACGGCACAGACGGGUACGGGAGGCAAAAGGGGGGAAGAUUGAACAAGGAGCGGAAGCCUGAUGAAGAAACGCCGCGUGUGGGAAGACGGUCUUCGGGUUGUAAAGCGCUUUCGGCUGUGACGAAGCGUGAGUGACGGUAAGAGGAAAAGAAGCACCGGCUAACUACGUG
rnacentral:rRNA from 1 species